CCUACGGGAGGCAGCAGUGGGGAAUAUUGGGCAAUGGAGGAAACUCUGACCCAGCAACGCCGCGUGAAUGAUGAAGGUCUUCGGAUUGUAAAGUUCUUUUCUAAGGGAAGAAGAAAGUGACGGUACCUUAGUAAUAAGCCUCGGCUAACUACGUGACAGCAGCCGCGGUAAUACGUAGGAGGCAAGCGUUAUCCGGAAUGACUGGGCGUAAAGGGUGCGUAGGUGGUUUGACAAGUUGGUAGCGUAACUCCGGGUCGCAACCUCGGCACUACUACCAAAACUGUUGGACUGGAGUGCAGGAGGGGCGAAUGGAAUUCCUAGUGUAGCGGUGAAAUGCGUAGAUAUUAGGAGGAACACCAGUGGCGAAGGCGAUUUUCUGGACUGUAACUGACGCUGAGGCACGAAAGCGUGGGGAGCAAACAGGAUUAGAUACCCGAGUAGUC
rnacentral:rRNA from 1 species